UGCAGUCGAGCGGAUGAGAGGAGCUUGCUCCUUGAUUUAGCGGCGGACGGGUGAGUAAUGCCUAGGAAUCUGCCUGGUAGUGGGGGAUAACGUCCGGAAACGGGCGCUAAUACCGCAUACGUCCUACGGGAGAAAGCAGGGGACCUUCGGGCCUUGCGCUAUCAGAUGAGCCUAGGUCGGAUUAGCUUGUUGGUGAGGUAAUGGCUCACCAAGGCGACGAUCCGUAACUGGUCUGAGAGGAUGAUCAGUCACACUGGAACUGAGACACGGUCCAGACUCCUACGGGAGGCAGCAGUGGGGAAUAUUGGACAAUGGGCGAAAGCCUGAUCCGGCCAUGCCGCGUGUGUGAAGAAGGUCUUCGGAUUGUAAAGCACUUUAAGUUG
rnacentral:rRNA from 1 species